rnacentral:antisense_RNA from 2 species
GUGGGAGCGAGCCUGCUCGCGAAGACGGUCUGUCAGCUCCGGAUACUUCGACUGAUACACCGCUUUCGCGAGCAGGCUCGCUCCCAC